rnacentral:rRNA from 1 species
UGGGGAAUAUUGGACAAUGGGGGCAACCCUGAUCCAGCCAUGCCGCGUGUGUGAAGAAGGCCUUCGGGUUGUAAAGCUCUUUUAGUCGGAAAGAAAGAGUCGCAAUGAAUAAUUGUGAUUUAUGACGGUACCGACAGAAAAAGCACCGGCUAACUACGUGCCAGCAGCCGCGGUAAUACGUAGGGUGCGAGCGUUAAUCGGAAUUACUGGGCGUAAAGGGUGCGCAGGCGGUUUUGCAAGUCAGAUGUGAAAGCCCCGGGCUUAACCUGGGAAUUGCGUUUGAAACUACAAGGCUAGAGUGCAGCAGAGGGGAGUGGAAUUCCAUGUGUAGCAGUGAAAUGCGUAGAGAUGUGGAAGAACACCGAUGGCGAAGGCAGCUCCCUGGGUUGACACUGACGCUCAUGCACGAAAGCGUGGGGAGCAAACA